rnacentral:rRNA from 1 species
GUGGGGAAUUUUGGACAAUGGGGGCAACCCUGAUCCAGCCAUUCCGCGUGAGUGAAGAAGGCCUUCGGGUUGUAAAGCUCUUUCGGCAGGAACGAAACGGUGAGCUCUAACAUAGCUCGCUAAUGACGGUACCUGAAGAAGAAGCACCGGCUAACUACGUGCCAGCAGCCGCGGUAAUACGUAGGGUGCGAGCGUUAAUCGGAAUUACUGGGCGUAAAGCGUGCGCAGGCGGUUGUGUAUGACAGGUGUGAAAUCCCCGGGCUUAACCUGGGAACUGCGCUUGUGACUGCACGGCUAGAGUAUGGCAGAGGGGGGUGGAAUUCCACGUGUAGCAGUGAAAUGCGUAGAGAUGUGGAGGAACACCGAUGGCGAAGGCAGCCCCCUGGGCCAAUACUGACGCUCAUGCACGAAAGCGUGGGGAGCAAACAGGAUUAGAUACCCCAGUAGUCC